rnacentral:rRNA from 1 species
CAUUAAGCCCUCCGCCUGGGGAGUACGACCGCAAGGUUUUAACUCAAAAGAAUAAACGGGGCCCCCCCCAACCGGUGGAGCAUGUGUUUUAAUUAGAAGCAACGCGAAGAACCUUACCAAAUCUGGACAUCCUCUGACCCCUCUAGAGAUAGAGUUUUCCCCUUCGGGGAACAGAGUGACAGGUGGUGCAUGGUUGUCGUCAGCUCGUGUCGUGAGAUGUUGGGUUAAGUCCCGCAACGAGCGCAACCCUUAAGCUUAGUUGCCAUCAUUAAGUUGGGCACUCUAAGUUGACUGCCGGUGACAAACCGGAGGAAGGUGGGGAUGACGUCAAAUCAUCAUGCCCCUUAUGAUUUGGGCUACACACGUGCUACAAUGGACAAUACAAAGGGCAGCGAAACCGCGAGGUCAAGCAAAUCCCAUAAAGUUGUUCUCAGUUCGGAUUGUAGUCUGCAACUCGACUAUAUGAAGCUGGAAUCGCUAGUAAUCGUAGAUCAGCAUGCUACGGUGAAUACGUUCCCGGGUCUUGUACACCCCGCUCCGGCACACCACGAGAGUUUGUAACACCCGAA